GUACUUUCUCCCACAACUAAUUUGCGUUGACACAUGUCUGUGCCAGGCAAGCCCAACAUCCAUAAUAGCUCCUCAAAGGCUCCUACAGUAGCAAACAAACAAACAACUUAAAAAGGCCUCUAAAUCAUUAAUGCUUUUUUCUCUUGGAUAUGAGUGCAUAUAAGGAGGUGGUGUUUCCCUCCCAUCAAACAGAUAUUGUUUAUAGCCCAUGUUGCCACAUUGACUGAAAGGUUUUCAUAGAAUUUAUUUUUCAACUUUUAAACGUUAAACCGCUUAACGACAUACUUAACAAGUUCCCUCCAGUUUGUUGUUCUACUCCCGAAUAUCUGGCUUCGUAAUUUAAUUAGUCCAACAAACAUUAUUUUCACUGGUGUCAGCCAUAGAGCGGCGACUGUUUUCUAUGUUCAAUAUUUUGUGGAAUUGUCAAAUAAAAAGAAUAGAACAUUUUUCUAACCCCCAGGCGAACAUAAAUAAAAGAACAAAAU
rnacentral:sRNA from 1 species